GUUUAAAAACAGUCUAACGAUUGUAUUAUAAUAGUCAGUUGAUUUUUAGGUUCGUUUUUUUAACGUUAUUAAAUAUAAAUCCAACAAGCUAUGCGUUGCAAAUAUAUACCGUCAAAGGACUAUGGCGGGCGGAGACAGAAACACAUUGAGGAGUGCGCUCUGUCUGGUACCCCGCCCGCUGGAUCUUCACACAGGAGAAAAACGAGCGCACCUCUUCAACAGGCGUACCCCAGUCACCCUACAUCGUCUCUCGGGGACUUGGCAUCAGACCAGCGGCUAGUUUUGUCCUAAACUACACUCUGGCUCCUGGGGCAGGGAGGCGAGAAAACUACUUCCGAGGCUACCAGCUGUACCACAAGGGCAGCUGGAAAAUGCACAGUCCGAGGUGUUGAGAGUCUUUAAUAUUUUACCUGGCAGGUAAAACCAAGGGUCAGACUGAAUUGUUCAGUUGGCUGUUUUUAAGGAAUAUUGAUGGCAUCGAAAAAUACACAGCCCACCUCCAGUCCGUAGGCUAGACCAUCACAUACAUGAGUUCCUCGAAUACUUUUGGGAAACCCUACCUGCCCAGUCUCUGAAUGCGAUGGAUGUGGUGAGCGUGCUGCACAGGGGAUUUUGUGAUCUCUGGAAUACAAGACUCUUGGAGACUGACGAUUUUCGCUGGCUGGAGAGGUGUCUGGAGCUGCAGGCGGCCAGCAAGCCACCAAACCAGCUGGGAAGGGCCCAUGCUAAAACUUAUUGCACCACCUGCAGGUAGCGUGGGCGGACAUGGGCCUUAAAGGGUCCCCCAACUUCACCGACCUGAGGACGGCUGUGUUUGCGCAUGCCAAGAACAACCUGCCUGCCGAGCAGCGGACGAUGGUGGCCACCUUGAUGUGCAACAACACGGCCACAGCUGACUGCUUCUACGCCCUCAGCCUGAACGUGGCCCAGUCAAAGAGGAUGAGGGAGCAUUUCCGCCAGGCCCUCACCCACACCAUGCCAUCACCUCCACCACCAGGAAGAGGUCCUGCAAGCCUGAGUAC